GACGAACGCUGGCGGCGCGCUUAACACUUGCAAGUCGAACGGAAAGGCCUGCUUUCCCUUGUGGAUUGCGGGUACUCGAGUGGCGAACGGGUGAGUAACACGUGAGUGAUCUGCCCCCAACUUGGGUAUAAGCCUGGGAAACUGGGUCUAAUUCCCGAUAGGACUGCAGGGUGGUGCCUGUGGUGGAAAACGAUUUUCUAGUGGUUGGGGAUGAGCUCGCGGCCUAUCAGCUUGUUGGUGGGGUAAUGGCCUACCAAGGCGGCGACGGGUAGCCGGCCUGAGAGGGUGGACGGCCACAUUGGGACUGAGAUACGGCCCAGACUCCUACGGGAGGCAGCAGUGGGGAAUAUUGCACAAUGGGCGGAAGCCUGAUGCAGCGACGCCGCGUGGGGGAUGACGGCCUUCGGGUUGUAAACUCCUUUCGACCGCGAGGAAGCCACCUGGUUGGAAGGGUGGUGACGGUAGUGGUAGAAGAAGCACCGGCUAACUACGUG
rnacentral:rRNA from 1 species